rnacentral:rRNA from 1 species
AUGGGGAAGGUGCUGUUGGAGAAGUUAGUUCAUCAAGAUGUAAUCAGCUUGUCACUUGGGAAGGUGUGGUGCCCUAUCAAGGGUACCGAUUGCAGGGAUGUGGGAGACAACCUAUUUGUGUUUACAUUCAAACAGGAAUCAGCGAAAAGGAAGGCACUGGAAGAUGGCCCAUGGAUGUUUGAUAAAGAUCUGGUAGUAGUAGAGGAGUACGAUCCGAGCAAGAGACUCGAAGACUAUGAGUUUAACAAUAUACCAAUUUGGGUAGAUGCAGAGAGGGACGGUAAAGCUAACGGGAAGUACAUGCGAAUGAAAAUCAGAAUGAAGAUAGACAAGCCAAUUAUGAGGGGUUUUACAUUGGAUGAUGAUGAGGAGGAUUUGAAACUGAAAAGGAAGAAGAAGAUGAGCAUCAAUGGUAAGGAAGAGGAGGAGGAAGAAGGGCUGUGGUGUCGGCCAUGGAGAGAAAGAUUGCCUAAACAAUUGAAGAAAGGGGAGACCCCCCAGUUUGGGCGCUGGUUAAAGGCAGAUGUAGGUAGAAGAAGGAACUAUGGUGAUGAUGAUUGGAGCUGGAAAGGCAAUGAAAAGGAGUUAGGGAGGUUUAGGUGGUCGUUGGGGAUCGCCAACAUGGUUGCAUGGAUGGAUGAGGGAACGGGGAGAUGGGUUGCUUUGUUUUGGCGUAAGGGAGUGGAUGUGACCUUGAGAUCGUAUAUUAGGCGGCAUGUGGACGUGGAUGUCAAGAGAGAGGAUGGAGGGGUGGCCCGGCCGCAUCACUACUUGGAUGGCUUCCGGGAGGCUCUGAAUGUGUGUGGGCUUCGAGAUAUUGGUUUCAAGGGGGUCAUGUACACAUGGAGAAGUCACAGUAAAGAACUAUGCAUGUACAUAUGUGAAAGACUCGACCGGGCGACUGCAAAUAAUGAAUGGUGCGACAUAUUCCCAAACUACGUGGUUGUCAAUGGUGAACCUCAGCACUCUGACCACCGGCCCAUCAUUCUGCAUAUGGAAGGUGUAGAUAGGGGAUGGAAGAGAGGGGGCCACAUAUUCCGUUUUGAAGCUAGCUGGUUAAAAGAAGAUGGGUGUGAAGAUGUGAUAAGGAAUGCUUGGGAAAAUAAUUGUUUGCCGGGUGCAGGGGGAGUGGCGCAAGGCUUAAAAGGUGUACCAACUAAUAUGAGAAUUUGGAGUAAGGAGGUACUGGGAGAGCUCGAUGAGAAGAUUAAGAAAACAAAUGCAGACUUGGAGAAAUAUAUGGAAGAUACAGUUUCAAAAGAGAAAAUUAGAGAGGAAGCAAAACUUAGAUGUUUGUUGGAGGAGCUAAAAACCAAGAAAUACACGUAG